GACGAACGCUGGCGGCGUGCCUAAUACAUGCAAGUAGAACGCUGAAGAGAGGAGCUUGCUCUUCUUGGAUGAGUUGCGAACGGGUGAGUAACGCGUAGGUAACCUGCCUGGUAGCGGGGGAUAACUAUUGGAAACGAUAGCUAAUACCGCAUAAAAUGGAUUAUCGCAUGAUAAUCCAUUGAAAGGUGCAAAUGCAUCACUACCAGAUGGACCUGCGUUGUAUUAGCUAGUUGGUGGGGUAACGGCUCACCAAGGCGACGAUACAUAGCCGACCUGAGAGGGUGAUCGGCCACACUGGGACUGAGACACGGCCCAGACUCCUACGGGAGGCAGCAGUAGGGAAUCUUCGGCAAUGGACAGAAGUCUGACCGAGCAACGCCGCGUGAGUGAAGAAGGUUUUCGGAUCGUAAAGCUCUGUUGUAAGAGAAGAACGAGUGUGAGAGUGGAAAGUUCACACUGUGACGGUAUCUUACCAGAAAGGGACGGCUAACUACGUG
rnacentral:rRNA from 1 species